AGCAAAAUGAUGAAGUAAUUUUGUGUCUGAAACUGAUGUAGAUCUCUUGUUUCAUACAUGCCUUCAAAGUUCUCUGAUUGCUUUGCUAGUUUUAUAUAUUUUGAUUGUUUAAUUCAACCUUUCGUUUGCGUCCUCUUUAUAUUAGUUUGAGGUUUCAAUUUCUGUUUUUUUAUUUAUUUAUAAAAAUUUAGUUUAUGUUAUAUGAAGCACGGAUACAGCAGGGACACCGACACACCAACACCGCUAAUAAUUUAUGUAAUUAAACGUGUUGGUGUUGGAUACUCAUACAUGCCUAAUCUGAGGCUGUGUCUUUGGUUUUUCUUGAAAGCAGAGCAAAAUGAUGAGGUUUUAAGAUCUGAAUAUCAUGUGGAUUCCUAAUUGAAAUGGUCUUCAAAGUUUUCUGAUUACU
rnacentral:lncRNA from 1 species